rnacentral:misc_RNA from 1 species
CCAAACUUGUCAUUUAGAGGAAGUAAAAGUCGUAACAAGGUAUCCGUAGGUGAACCUGCGGAUGGAUCAUUACCAAUUUUUAAUAUUAGUUCUGGGCUGAGGGUCAAACCGAGGUCUCUGAAACUACUAUGUAAACGUUGAACUAGAUCAUUGGUGUGGAUUGCUUGGGAAUGGUUAGAAGCGACAAGCCUCUUUCCGGACAGGCAAACCCCACAUCGAUAACCUUUUCAUAACUUACAACUAGUACAUACUACAAACAAACAACAAACAAAUAAAGCUAUAAUAGGACUUACUAUAAGCUGAGUGGGUAAAAGCCUCAGCUUUAAACUAAUAACUAUUACAACUUUCAGCAAUGGAUCUCUAGGCUCUCGCAUCGAUGAAGAACGCAGC